rnacentral:rRNA from 1 species
AUUGAACGCUGGCGGCAUGCUUUACACAUGCAAGUCGAACGGCAGCGCGGGCUUCGGCCUGGCGGCGAGUGGCGAACGGGUGAGUAAUGCAUCGGAACGUGCCCAGUAGUGGGGGAUAGCCCGGCGAAAGCCGGAUUAAUACCGCAUACGACCUGAGGGUGAAAGCGGGGGACCGAAAGGCCUCGCGCUAUUGGGGCGGCCGAUGUCGGAUUAGCUAGUUGGUGGGGUAAAGGCUUACCAAGGCGACGAUCCGUAGCUGGUCUGAGAGGACGACCAGCAACACUGGGACUGAGACACGGCCCAGACUCCUACGGGAGGCAGCAGUGGGGAAUUUUGGACAAUGGGGGCAACCCUGAUCCAGCCAUGCCGCGUGCGGGAAGAAGGCCUUCGGGUUGUAAACCGCUUUUGUUCGGGAAGAAAUCCUCUGGGCUAAUACCCCGGGGGGAUGACGGUACCGGAAGAAUAAGCACCGGCUAACUACGU